rnacentral:lncRNA from 1 species
GCCUUAUUAUUAUUCGUAAAUCGUAGUGUUAUUGUCGUUAAUCGAUGAGUACGUACGUCGAAUUAUCUGAUGUAUAAAAGCAAAAAUUAUAUUUUAAAAAAUUCUGCUUGGAAAUGACAAAGCGUUUUUAGUAAAUUGUCCGAAUUAUUCAAAUUUUGGGAGAAAAUAAUACAAAUUUACUGCAUAUAAAAAAAUGUAUAUUCAUCUCUUAAUUUUCAUAAGAGUUUCCAAAUUAUAUGUUUGAACAAGUAGUCGGAUCAUAUGGAUUAGAAGAGAUUUGUGGCAAUGUAGUGUUACUAUAAAAUACACAAGUAAUAUCUGUGGGAUGCAUAAAAUACAUGCUGAGAUAUUCAACAAGAACGGAUGCUCAACAUCUGCGCUAUGAGUUUUAUAACAAAUUUAUUGCCGCUACGAUUUGUCUGCUACGAUUCAACAUUUCCAUCAUGAGUCAUCAUUUGCAUCAUUUGCAUCGUUUUCAGGUAAACGUUAUGGCGAUUUUUACCUCGCAGAAUCCUUGUAGAGAGAGAUCAAAUAUUUUUGCGGCAGUCAGAGUUGAUGGGCGGCCUGAUCUGAUUAUCAUUAAAAUCAAAUAGCCUACGAUGUUCGUCGGCAAAUUGUACCACUCGAUAAAGCGAUCACCGAUAGCUGAUAUAAUAUACACAUUUAUGUACAUCGAUGUCAUUAAAACGAAAUACGUGCCCAUCGGAAUACCUUAAGAACUCCGAAUUCUAGAAAACAUAUAAUAACGGUGCAUCCAACCAUUUCGCAUAGAAAGACGAUAUUCAACGAUUUCUCAAUCAUCUCCGCAAAUCUGCAAUUACGAUCUAAUUUAAUAAAUGAUGAAGCAAAACGUCUCUCAUGAAACUCUCGUGAAUCUCUCACCUGAUGGCUUGUAUAUGGUGUUCGAUCACUUGGCCGAGUCGCCUGUGCAGAUCGUCGGUCCCAUU